rnacentral:rRNA from 1 species
AUACGGAGGGUGCGAGCGUUAAUCGGAAUUACUGGGCGUAGAGCGCGCGUAGGCGGUUCGAUAAGUCUGAUGUGAAAGCCCUGGGCUUAACCUGGGAAUGGCAUUGGAUACUGUUGAACUAGAGUGCGUGAGAGGAGAGUGGAAUUCUCGGUGUAGCGGUGAAAUGCGUAGAUAUCGGGAGGAACACCAGUGGCGAAGGCGGCUCUCUGGACUGACACUGACGCUGAGGUGCGAAAGCGCGGGUAGCAAACAGAAUUAGAUACCCCAGUAGUCC